GCCGCCCUGUCUCUGCUGCCUACAACUCAUCUCUGAGCAGCACAUUCUUCCUUAUACUUGCAGAGCAGCUCUGGUGGUUUGGCACAAGGACCAAAACAUGAAAGACGAGCCUCCCGCCGCUGAGCCAGUUCCAUGGGAGUUCACACAGUCAGAGCAUCAAACCUCCUCCCACCAGCUGAACAUGACCUUCAGAGGAUGUCUGAAGAAUUGGAUCCAGACUUUCUGCAGAGGUUGCCUCUCACACAUGCACAACGCAGCUGGAGAAUCUCCACAUUCACAACAACAAAGAAGUCUCCAGAGCGGAGACAGGAUGUAAUGUAUUCAUUCUUAUGUGGAGAUCAUGUUUUUAUUUACAGCACAUCAACGUCUUCAUCUGACCUUAUCACCAAAAGGUCCGUGUGUUCUUUACACAGGCUCCUUCGGGCUUUCUGCAGACUUUUUACUGGGGGACUUGCUGGAAAAACUGUCUGCAGUAAAUCAGAAGGCUCUCACUCAGACAUUUGCGUUCACACAUACAGCUCCCUCCAGGAGAAUGUCCAGAUGUGUUUUAGAGUUUAGAGCAUGUUUCUUCAGUGAAAUAACUUGUAUUUGUGAAUGCAUGUGUCUCUAGAAUGUCUUUGCGCAUGACUCUGUGCCGGUGGGAUUUGCUGUCUCGAGUAAAACUAAUGCAGAGUGUGAAUGAACAAUGAAGAGGUGACAAUAAACUGAAGUCACAU